GAGUUUGAUCAUGGCUCAGAACGAACGCUGGCGGCAUGCCUAACACAUGCAAGUCGAACGAAGGCUUCGGCCUUAGUGGCGCACGGGUGCGUAACGCGUGGGAAUCUGCCCUUUGCUUCGGAAUAACAGUGGGAAACUACUGCUAAUACCGGAUGAUGUCUUCGGACCAAAGAUUUAUCGGCAAGGGAUGAGCCCGCGUAGGAUUAGGUAGUUGGUGGGGUAAAGGCCUACCAAGCCGACGAUCCUUAGCUGGUCUGAGAGGAUGAUCAGCCACACUGGGACUGAGACACGGCCCAGACUCCUACGGGAGGCAGCAGUGGGGAAUAUUGGACAAUGGGGGGAACCCUGAUCCAGCAAUGCCGCGUGAGUGAUGAAGGCCUUAGGGUUGUAAAGCUCUUUUACCCGGGAUGAUAAUGACAGUACCGGGAGAAUAAGCUCCGGCUAACUCCGUGCCAGCAGCCGCAGUAAG
rnacentral:rRNA from 2 species